CACAGUGGAAUGAUUCUCUCCCUACAUGUGUUGUGCCCUGUGGUGGAAUUUUAACAAAGCGCAAAGGGACCAUUUUGUCUCCUGGUUACCCUGAGCCUUAUGACAACAAUCUGAAUUGUGUGUGGAAGAUCACAGUACCAGAGGGAGCUGGAAUUCAAGUGCAAGUGGUGAGUUUUGCCACAGAACACAACUGGGAUUCUUUAGACUUUUACGAUGGUGCUGACAACAAUGCUCCAAGGCUUGGAAGUUAUUCAGGGACAACCAUACCUCCAC